rnacentral:misc_RNA from 1 species
GCGUGAAGAGGGACGCCAUCCCGGGCCGCUACCAGACGAUGUGGUUCGAGGCCACGAAGCCGGGGCGCUACCAUCUGUUCUGCGCCGAGUACUGCGGCACCAAGCACUCGGAGAUGAUCGGAUGGAUCGUGGCCAUGGAGCCGUCGGCCUUCCAGGCCUGGCUCACGGGCGGAACGGGAGAGCUCUCGAUGGCGGCGGCGGGCGAGCGGAGGUUCCAGGAGCUCGGCUGCGUCACGUGUCACCGCGCCGACACCGAAGGGCGCGGCCCCAACCUGCAGGGGCUCUUCGGCCGGCCGGUCCAGCUCGCCGCCGGGGGGACGGUCCCCGCCGACGAAGGCUACAUCCGCGAGUCGAUCGUGAACCCGGCGGCCAAGGUCGUGG